GAGUUGCCUCCCUUGGCAAAUACUUCCGGCCCAUGUUGUCAACAAAGUGCAUGAGGUUGUAGAUUUGCAUCAAGUGCUACUGACGAUCAUGGGUCGUUCUUUUCAAGCUGAUGAAGCCAUAGAGGCCUACAUAGAACAGCUAAUUAAGUCUGGACAGUGGCACAUUGGGUUGAUUGUCGGUCAGCUAACAAACAGCAAAGACUACGUUGUCCGACUGAUUCGGACCCCAGAUCCGGCAGAGGAUGAAGUCAGUGAGGAGGAAGAGGGAGAAGAAGUAGUCACAGAGAGGAAGAAGGAAGCUUGUGUCCGACCCAAAUCUCUCGACCUCACUGAUGAACAGUGGGUUUCUUCUCAUGCCACACAAGUAGACAGGAUGUUACUGGGCGGCCUGGAUGUGAUUGGGAUCUUUGCCCUGGCUCCUCCCAACAUGAUGCAGAGUGCUCAAGCCAAGCUCAGACAGGUUGUCUUUGCUGUCCACAAGGCCCUCAGUAAACUGACCGUCUGUGACCGAGACAACGCCAUCACUGACCGCUUGGUGCUACAGAUAUGCUCAGUGGCCAGAAAGGCAACCUGCAGGACGUUUGAUGUGGCAGACAUGAAGAGUACGGCCCGUCCAGCAGAAUGGCGGUACAUGAGUGGUCUUCUUGACCGCUGGUCGCAGCUGUCCACCAUUGUGUCAGUGGAUGUCACCAUCACCGUCCCCAACGACACUCGCACCACCAGCAUGCAUAAACAGAUUCAGCAAGGAAUUCAACCCUUCUGCAAAUCUAUAUACAGUGGCAUGGCGCUGUUGAAUGGUGAGCUCAGAAACAACGACGAACUACUCGACCAAUCAGAAACAAGGAAAGGGAAGUCCAAGGACAGGGGAAGUCCCGUGAGGCAGCAGUUUGCCGUGGAUCUUCUCGUCAGUAGGUCAGAUAACAACAGUGUGUCUGACCCCACAGUGCUGUCAGUCAAGGCCAUCCUUAAGGUCAGAGGUCAGAUGAUUGGAAGGUCAUUGGUCAACAAUCGUGCAACUGUAAAGGAUGCUAUUGAGGCGGUACGCAGUGACGUCGUGCGGAGCCUGGUGUCUCGGUGUGAGCUGCUGUGUGAGGACCUCGAGGUCGUGGAAGAGGAUGGAGCUAGGGAGUUGUACGAUACACCAGUCCGCGUUUUUACCACGGUGCCCAAGUCGUCACUGGCGUUCUGCGACUACAUGUUCCAAGAUGAAAGGACGCUGGAGGUGACAGAGAGGCUAAAGGAGUUGCUGGACAUCGAUGUCACAGAAGAUGACCUUGAACUUCAGUGUGAGAGACAUGCAGAGGAGGAGGACUGGUCUUCAGGAGUUGUGUCAGAGGACGGCACGGAACACGCGGGAGGUUCUGCUGGCGCCAGGAGCAGUCUUGGAGCUUAUCUAGGCAUGGCCGUGAGUGGGUUGGUGGCGGCGCUGGCGGGCGUGGCCUACAUGAUGUAUGGGGACAGCUGAUGACGGGGGUCAGGCUAGACCCACUUCUCUAUUUCUUGCUGUUUCUACAAGUUUAUGGUACUGCCGCUGUCCCUGUCUCGGUGCAUCACAAUUACACAUCCCUGGAGGUCAAACAGGACGAGGUGCUAUAGGAUAGGAACCGAUUCAUUGACUGUAUUGACAAGAAAAUAUUAGCUAUUUUAUGGCAUGGUUAAAUUUCAGCAUUAAGUUUUACAAGUUUUGAAACCUGUCAGGUUUCAAACAUCUUCCUGAGGCAAGGGAGUUAACUGACUAUAAAAGUCCAGUUUCCACCCUUGCCGAAGUACGAAUCCACUGUUUCUCAAGCACAUUUGCCUCAAAUAUGAGGGUGGUAGGACCAUUUAAUUUUUAUUGAAACCGAAAGUGAUGAGGGAGGAACACAUUUUAUUAUUUAACCCUCCCGGAAUACCAACAAACACAACUGGGCAACAUUUAUCUCAACUCUGUAACACAAUGUCAGUUGUCCAGCAUUGAUAACAGCCUGCUUUAUAUGAUACAGGAAAUUUGAAAAUUUUAAAAAAAAAUUCAAUAAUUAUGACAGAUAAUGUACAGGAUUAAAAGUGACACGCUAAUGCCCGAUAAAUGUUUUCUUUCUCUUUAUUAGACUGAUUAUUCUUUAUUAAUAUUUUAAUUGCACAUAGGUAAAACCUUCAGUAAGAAACCACCAUUUUGUCUAUGUUGGUGCUCUUAUGUAUUAACAAAUGGAUAAACACAUGGUCAUUUACACACGUCAUUAAUGACAUCAGGGUCAUCCAUUUAUCAGUUCCAUGAAGUCACAUGAUGAGGUGAUGUCGUACUUACUAGAUGUCGCAGUGUUUCCCAUUCACUGUUGCCGUGAUAGACAAUGAGAAAUGAAAUGCCAAUUAAUUGACUUUCUGUUCUGUAACUGCAUACUUUUGACAAAUUGACUUUUUGUUCACAAUUCUUGGCUGCACCAGUUUAUAUUGGGAAUAGAUUGACUUAAGAUAUGUCGUGAGGUGUCGUCAGUACUUCAAGGGAUUGUAUACAAUACAUUCCUCGUCCUGAGACUACACAUGGCCGCUAUGUGGUGUGAUACAGACCCCUAUCUAUCUAAGACAAUGAAAGGAGGCCUUGUAUAAUUCAUGAAUGUCAAAUGAGCCCUAUUCCACGCAUGAAUUUUGGGAACCCAAUUGUUGCCUGAUAUUGAAGCUAUGUGCACGUGUAGAGUUGAGGCCUCAAGGCUGAAUCAUGUUGCAUUAGAAACAUUGCCUUUAUUAUGCAGUGUACCCUGAGCUCUCAUUGGUCAGAGCUCUUGCAGGAACCAGCACUCAUUGGUCAGAGCUCUUGCUGGAACCAGGAAGUGUACUUUGAACCCUCAUUGGUCAGAGCUCUUGCUGGAACCAGCCCUCAUUGGUCAGAGCUCUUGAUGGAACCAGGUAAUGUGCUGUUAGUCCUCAUUGGUCAGAGCUCAUGCUGGAACCAGGAAGUGUCCUCUGAGCCCUCAUUGGUCAGAGCUCUUGCUCAUGUUGGUUAAAUAUAAUGACUACACAAUAAAGCAGCCAUAUGUAUUCACAAAUCAUGGUGGAAUGAUGGUACACAAGAGAUGCGCAGUGAACAGAAAAAUACAUACCAGAAGAUGUCUGUUCUGUCUGUUGGGGAAAGGUUUUAUUGUGAUUAAAGACUGUGAGGCAUUUUAGGAUAAGGAUUUGUUUGAUGAUGUGAGUGGCUUUGACUUGCCUAAGCUUUAGUGUUGGCUUGAGUCUGUUAAUCUUUUGUAUGAAUGAUAUUGUACAUAAUCUAUAUGUAUAAAACAAAAGUGUUUGCUUGGAUGUACAAAUAAAUAUUGACACAGUU
rnacentral:misc_RNA from 1 species